rnacentral:rRNA from 1 species
CACAGAGGGGGCAAGCGUUGUUCGGAAUUACUGGGCGUAAAGGGCGCGUAGGCGGCCCGCUAAGUCGAACGUGAAAUCCCCAGGCUCAACCUGGGAACUGCGUCCGAUACUGGCAGGCUUGAAUCCGGGAGAGGGAUGUGGAAUUCCAGGUGUAGCGGUGAAAUGCGUAGAUAUCUGGAGGAACACCGGUGGCGAAGGCGGCAUCCUGGACCGGUAUUGACGCUGAGGCGCGAAAGCUAGGGGAGCAAACGGG